rnacentral:rRNA from 1 species
UACGUAGGUGGCGAGCGUUGUCCGGAUUUACUGGGCGUAAAGGGCGUGCAGGCGGUUUGUUAAGUGCAGGGUGAAAGCUCCCGGCUCAACUGGGAGAGGUCCUUGCAUACUGGCGAACUCGAGGGAGGCAGAGGAAAGUGGAAUUCCCGGUGUAGUGGUGAUAUGCGUAGAUAUCGGGAGGAACACCUGUGGCGAAGGCGGCUACCUGGAGCUUUGCUGACGCUGAUGCGCGAAAGCGUGGGGAGCGAUCCGG